GGGGCCGGGCGGACUCUAGUCUUGGAGUGGGGUCUCCUUGAGCUGUGUGGGUUUGGAGGCUUGGGGCGACUCGGAGCUUGCGAAGCGGGAGCUAGAAAUCUGACGGUGGAACUCCUUCAGGCUCGGGCUUUCUGGAUGCUGAGAGGGAUUCAGGUGUGAGGCCUGCGCACGAGCAAGGCGGCCAAACCCAUCGGAGUAUGAGCAGGCUUUCCGCUCUCUUUCCUGCAGUGGUGGUGCAGUGGACCGGCUUUUUCUCCCUAGGUCAGGGGCCAGUUGGAUGCUUCCAGAGGGAGCUCGGUGGACUCUGAGGCAGCGAGCACGUGUAAUUCACAUCCGAGUAUUUCUUCGGGGCGGACUAGCAUAUUAACGUUUGCCAACGUUUGCGUCUGUUCUGUCGUUCACUCCUGCUGUCUGUUGUCAGGCUCCAGAUUUAAAAAGUCGGCAAACCCGUGGGAGGCACUAUUAUUUUUCUACUGAUUUGUAGCCUUAAUAGGAAAUAUUGAGAGGAAGCCCUUAGACUGUAUUUAUAUGCAAGAGAAGCAUAUUAUUUUAAGCUUUUAUACAACCCCAAAAGAAUUGCAAUUUUUGAAUGCUUGUGUUGUCCAACAGUCAAAUGUAGCAUUAGAAGGAAACUAGGUGGGUUGGGGAAUGUCGCUCAGCAAUAGAACAUGCUUACUGAACAUAUGCAAGGCUCUGGCGUCGAUUCCUAGCACCAAAAAUAAAGAGCUGAGGCGCUUCUUCCCUUCUUAAUUUUAAAAAUGCUUGAGGACUACCCUACUAUUUGUAUUUUGACUUUGCGGUAAGGAAACAGUGUCUAUAAUUAAAUGUUAAUUAGCAUGUAAGCAGCUGAAGUAAAUACAAACUAAAAACCUAUUCAUGUAUUUUGACCCAUCAGUAUUGUAAUGAGUCUUGUGAUUAAUGGGUGGAAUAGAGUUUUAUACGUAAUAAGCUACUCUUGCUAAGCUUUUUUGCAGACUUAUAAUUAAGGGCUAAGUUAUAAAGGCCAGAACCUUAAAAUGAGAUCUGCAUGACCUCUAAAAUUAACAAAUUCCAUUCAUAUUUUUGGAAUAAGAUUUAUAACCCCACCUAUUUGGGUUGGUCAUAGUUUUUCUAAGAAGUUCUACUGAUCGUUUUAGAUCAUCACCUGUGGAUUUAUGAAUUAGAGAAUUACAGAAAUUGUAGGUUAGCAUACUAGUCCCUUUGACAGUCUAGCAAGUAAAUGAUUUAGUAAGAUCAGGUCAUCUUGUAGUUUUUUUUUUUUUUUUUUUUUUCCACUUGCUGUAUUUGGUAUCAGGGACAUACUUGUCAUUAUAUCUCGCCCUCCUUCUCUCACUCCCUCCUCUUUGUGUAUGCACAUGUAUAUGCACUUCGUUUUUGUAUUCAUGCUGGGGAUUAAACCCAGAUCCUUAAGCAUGGUAGGCAAACGCUCUCCCACUGAACUAUGUCUUUAUCCCACCAUGCACUUAUAUUUUAAAAACAAAAAAGUAGGGUCACAACCAACUGGUUUGCAUUCAUUACAGUUAACAAAACUUGUAAGAAUAUAAUUAUACUUCCAGAAAGUUAGGGUUAUUUGUUGCAAUAGCACAAAGAUUAGAUUAAAAUUUAAAUAAAGCAAUGCUUUGAAAGAAUCAGGGCAAAACAGCUGUGUGUGAUGGAAUACUAGCUCUGCUCUAAGUAGACAAAGUCCUAAUUCCUCGUGAAUGACAACGAUAAAAUGCAAAAUGUGUCUAAAACUCUCUAUGAGAAGUUCAGGGUUGGAAAUGAGUGCUUUUUCUGAGUAAUCAUAGAUAAACAGGAAGGAGCUAUAAACUCAUACAGCGGUGUGAAUAUCAAUGCUGAGGAGAAGAAGAAGCCAUAGUACCUAGGGUAUGAUUCCAUUUGGGUAUAAUUAGAAAAUGAACACUGAUCUACAGUGAUAGCAAAUCAGUGGUUACUUAGGGGUAUGGGGUGGGGCCAAGGAAGCUUGAGGAAGGUCUUAAGAAAGGAUCCAAGGAAAUGUGGGAAAGGUGAAUAUGUUCUUUGUUGCGAUCAUUUCAUAGGUUUUCCAAGGUUCAAGUUACAUACCUUAAAUAUUUUGGCUUAGGACUUGUCAACUGCUUCCAAGAAGCCAUUCAAGAUGUUUUUAAAAGUCGCUUAUCGGACUGGAGAGAUGGCUGAGCAGUUAAGAGCACUGACUGCCCUUUCAGAGGUCCUGAGUUCAAUUCCCAGCAACCAUGUGGUGGCUCACAACCAACUGUAAUGUGGUUUGAUGCCCUCUUCUGGUGUGUCAGAAGACAGCUACAGUGUACUCACAUUCAGAAAGUAAAUAAAGAAAUAAAUCUUU
rnacentral:lncRNA from 1 species